rnacentral:piRNA from 1 species
UGCAACAUAGGUGCUUGGAAAGGUGCAAC